UCUGCGGACCGCAAGAGAGGGGCGUGCCGUUAAGGGGCGUAACUUUUAGCAGGGGGCGUAACUUUAAGUUGUCCAAGUUACACAGAACCACGCGAGACGUCAGGACGAGAUGUUGUCAUUCUGUCUUCUCUUCUGCCCGCAUAGAGAUACGGCGGCUAAAGGCGUUAUUAAAGUUGCUCAUCCAAGCGCCUUCAUGUUUGUUCGUACCAAUUUUAAUGGACGGGAAGCCGACUGACGAACAUCCUUUUCCCGAGAAAUGGUUCGGCUACGACACAUGUUAAGAAGUCACGCCAGGGGCUGAAUUAAGGUCGACCGUUUCAGCUGCAUUGAUGUGAAGUGAUGCAGUGGACAACUUGUGAGGGUGAUACCAUCCACAUGCACCUUAACUGUGAUGCAGAAAUACAAUAGGAUGAUCCAUCUGUCUACACUUCAAAAUCACAACUCAACCUUAAACAACCCAUAUCUGUUAUGGUAAAACAAUGUGGCGGUUUUCCAGACAGGGCUUAUACUGUUCCCGGGCUAAAAUGCAUGUUUGAGCUACUGUAAUUAAGAAAACACCUUGUACUGACACAUCUCAACAUAUCAGUGCCAUUGUUUUGUUUCAAGGUGCACACCAGUCUUGUUUUUGUAAGGUUUGUUUGUAAAAACUAAAAUGUCCUAAUAUAAGUGCCCAGUCCUGGUUUAAUCUAAACCAGUGGUUUUCAAUCUUGUCCUAGGGGACCCACUGUCCUGCACGUUUUGCAUGUCUCCCUUAUCUAACACACCUGAUUCAGAUCAUCAGCUCAUUAAGGGAGAGAUCCAUUAACAGAACUGGGUGUGUCAGUUAAGGGAGACAUACAAAAUAUGCAGAGCUGUGGGUCCCCUAGGACAAGAUUGAAAACCACUGAUCUAAACCAUUGGUGACCAAACCUGUGUCUUGAGAUCUACUGUCCUGCAGAGUUCAGCUCCAACCCCAAUCAAACACACCUGAACCUGCCAAUCAAGCAUUUCAGGGCAACCUUAAAAAAUUAUAGUCAGGUGUGUUUGUUAAAGCUGGGUUAGAACUAAAAUAUGCAGGAGGGUAGAUCUCCAGGAACAGGGUGGGUCACCCCUGAUCUAAACAAAGGGUUUCCAAACUGUGUCCUGCAAAGUUUAGCUCUAACCCUAAUCAAACACACCUGAAGCAGCCAAUUAAUGUCCUACUAAGCAUACUAGAAACUUACUGGCAGGUGCUCUGAUGCAAGUAAGAGCUAAACUCUGCAGGACACCGGCCCUCCAGGACUGAGUUUGGGCACCCCUGACUAAGCCCUGUCUGGGAAACUGCACCAAUGUGUUAAGCUGGCACCAUUGGACAUUACUGCUGCUGAGAAACAACCACAUUUCUCAGCUCUACACAGGGUUGACAUUGGAUGCAUUAUUAUUAUAAAAUGCAUUCAUGUGCACUUUACCAAUACUGUACAUACAUCAACAGCUUCCAGCUAUACACUUGGGAUCAGCUCCUGAUGCCUCUCAUAAUGCUGUGUUAUAAUUUAUUGCAGGGUGAUCUUGCUAAAAUUAUAUUUUUAUAAACCUUUUCAAUGUCACCAGAUGUUACAUGUUGUGAAUGGUUAUUUUUAUAAACCUUUACAAUGUCACCAGUUGUUACAUGUUGUGCAUAGUUAUUUUUAUACACCUUUACAAUGUUACCUGUUGUGAAUAGUUAUUUUUAUAAACCUUUACAAUGUCACCAGUUGUUACAUGUUGUGCAUAGUUAUUUUUAUACACCUUUACAAUGUUACCUGUUGUGAAUAGUUAUUUUUAUAAACCUUUACAAUGUCACCAGUUGUUACAUGUUGUGCAUAGUUAUUUUUAUACACCUUUACAAUGUUACCUGUGUGAAUAGUUAUUUUUAUAAACCUUCACAAUGUCACCAGAUGUUACCUGUUGUGAAUAAUUAUUUUAUAAACCUUUACAAUGUCACCAGUUGUUACAUGUUGUGCAUAGUUAUUUUUAUAAACCUUUACAAUGUCACCAGAUGUUACCUGUUGUGAAUAGUUAUUUUUAUACACCUUUACAAUGUUACCUGUUGUGAAUGGUUAUUUUAUACACCUUUACAAUGUUA